UGCCCCCUGGCCCAGCUGGUUAAGGCGUCCGACUGUUAAAUCAAUUAUCAUAUUGAUUACAUUACAUAAUGUAAUCGGGAGAUCGAGAGUUCGAUCCUCUCGGGGGCAG